AAGUCAUGUUUAUCGGGAGUCUGACCUGUGUACCAUUCUUGGGGGACACUCCAUGUUUAUGUUCCAUAGGGAGUCAUUCAUGUUUAUCGGGAGUCUGACCUGUGUACCAUUCUUGGGGGACACUCCAUGUUUAUAUUCCAUAGGGAGUCAUUCAUGUUUAUCGGGAGUCUGACCUGUGUACCAUUGUUGGGGGACACUCCAUGUUUAUGUUCCAUAGGGAAUCAUGUUUAUCGGGAGUCUGACCUGUGUACCAUUCUUGGGGGACACUCCAUGUUUAUGUUCCAUAGGGAGUCAUGUUUAUCGGGAGUCUGACCUGUGUAUCAUUCUUGGGGGACACUCCAUGUUUAUGUUCCAUAGGGAGUCAUGUUUAUCGGGAGUCUGACCUGUGUACCAUUCUUCGGGGACACUCCAUGUUUAUAUUCCAUAGGG